rnacentral:rRNA from 1 species
GACGAACGCUGGCGGCGUGCUUAACACAUGCAAGUCGAACGGAAAGGCCCUGCUUUUGUGGGGUGCUCGAGUGGCGAACGGGUGAGUAACAAGUGAGUAACCUGCCCUUGACUUUGGGAUAACUUCAGGAAACUGGGGCUAAUACCGGAUAGGAGCUCCUGCUGCAUGGAGGGGGUUGGAAAGUUUCGGCGGGUGGGGAUGGACUCGCGGCUUAUCAGCUUGUUGGUGGGGUAGUGGCUUACCAAGGCUUUGACGGGUAGCCGGCCUGAGAGGGUGACCGGCCACAUUGGGACUGAGAUACGGCCCAGACUCCUACGGUAGGCAGCAGUGGGGAAUAUUGCACAAUGGGCGGAAGCCUAAUGCAGCAACGCCGCGUUCGUGAUGACGGCCUUCGGGUUGUAAACCGCUUUCGCCUGUGACGAAGCGUGAGUGACGGUAAUGGGUAAAGAAGCACCGGCUAACUACGUG